rnacentral:rRNA from 1 species
GCGUCGGGCCGUGCACAAGUCUCCUGGAAUGGAGCGUCAUAGAGGGUGAGAAUCCCGUCUCUGGCAUGGACUUCCGGUGCUUCUGUGAUGCGCUCUCAAAGAGUCGAGUUGUUUGGGAAUGCAGCUCAAAAUGGGUGGUGAACUCCAUCUAAAGCUAAAUAUUGGCGAGAGACCGAUAGCGAACAAGUACCGUGAGGGAAAGAUGAAAAGCACUUUGGAAAGAGAGUGAAACAGUACGUGAAAUUGUUGAAAGGGAAACGCUUGAAGUCAGUCGCGUCGACCGAGACUCAGCCUCGCCUUGGCUUGGUGUACUUCUCGGCUGACGGGCCAGCAUUGAUUUCGUCCCUCGGAUAAUGGCGAGAGAAAGGUGGCACCCCUCGUGGGUGUGUUAUAGUCUCCUGUCGCAUACGAGGGAUGGGAUCGAGGACCUCAGCAUGCACCUCUCGGUGCCGGGGCUUUGGCCCACGAUACGUGCUUAGGAUGUUGGCGUAAUGGCUUUAAACGACCCGUCUUGAAACACGGACCAAGGAGUCUAACAUGCCCGCGAGUGUUCGGGUGGAAAACCCGUGCGCGAAAUGAAAGUGAAAAGUUGGGACCUCUGUCGUGGAGGGCACCGACGCCCGGACCAGACCUUCUGUGACGGAUCUGCGGUAGAGCGUGCAUGUUGGGACCCGAAAGAUGGUGAACUAUGCCUGAAUAGGGUGAAGCCAGAGGA